AACGCGAAGAACCUUACCCAGGCUUGACAUGCAGUGGAAUUUGCCAGAAACGGCAAAGCCCUUCGGGGCCGCUGCACAGGUGCUGCAUGGCUGUCGUCAGCUCGUGCCGUGAGGUGUUGGGUUAAGUCCCGCAACGAGCGCAACCCUUAUCAUUAGUUGCCAACACGUGAAGGUGGGAACUCUAAUGAGACUGCCUGGGUUAACCAGGAGGAAGGUGAGGAUGACGUCAAGUCCGCAUGGCCCUUAUGUCUGGGGCUACACACGUGCUACAAUGGUCGGUACAAAAGGCAGCGAAACCGCGAGGUGAAGCAAAUCCCAAAAGCCGACCCCAGUUCAGAUUGUAGUCUGCAACUCGACUACAUGAAGAUGGAAUUGCUAGUAAUGGCGAGUCAGCAACAUCGCCGUGAAUACGUUCCCGGGCCUUGUACACACCGCACGA
rnacentral:rRNA from 1 species